rnacentral:rRNA from 1 species
UACGUAGGGGGCAAGCGUUGUCCGGAAUUAUUGGGCGUAAAGCGCGCGUAGGCGGUGACUCAAGUCGGAUGUGAAAGCCCUUGGCUUAACCGAGGAAGUGCAUCCGAAACUGAGUCGCUAGAGUACGAUAGAGGGUCGCGGAAUUCCCGGUGUAGAGGUGAAAUUCGUAGAUAUCGGGAGGAACACCGGUGGCGAAGGCGGCGACCUGGGUCGAUACUGACGCUGAGGCGCGAAAGCGUGGGGAGCAAACAGG